rnacentral:rRNA from 1 species
CCUACGGGGGGCAGCAGUGGGGAAUAUUGCACAAUGGGCGAAAGCCUGAUGCAGCAACGCCGCGUGAAGGAAGACGGUUUUCGGAUUGUAAACUUCUGUUCUUAGUGAAGAAUAAUGACGGUAACUAAGGAGCAAGCCACGGCUAACUACGUGCCAGCAGCCGCGGUAAUACGUAGGUGGCAAGCGUUGUCCGGAAUUACUGGGUGUAAAGGGAGCGUAGGGGGGAAGCGAAGUCAGCUGUGAAAACUACGGGCUUAACCUGUAGACUGCAGUUGAAACUGGCAUUCUGGAGUGAAGGAGAGGUAGGCGGAAUUCCGAGUGUAGCGGUGAAAUGCGUAGAUAUGCGGAGGAACACCGGUGGCGAAGGCGGCCAACUGGGCUUUAACUGACGCUGAGGCUCGAAAGUGUGGGGAGCAAACAGGAUUAGAUACCCGUGUAGUC